AGGAACAACCACGAAGGCAGGGGCAGAGUGUCACUACCUAUUCCGUGUCACACUAACUUGGCCUUCCUGCCCAGCUCCACUGGGCAGAUUUCCUUUUGAUGGAUCCCUUUCUGAUCCUGGAACUGAGACACGUUUUGGUAUCAAAGCAGAAAAAUAACUCACACCAUAUUGUAUGCUACAAACUCAGAAUUGUUUACCAACGAAGGCUGAACUCAAAGCUUAAUAAGGUGCUUCCUUGAGCGAGUCACGGCCACUUACAAACGGCAUUCCUGAGUUCAUGCCUCAGAGUCAGGAGGUAAUUUUUAAAAUCAAGUCUGCAUCUUUUCUAUGAGCAGUCGAAAAGCACAGAAUACAUGCAAUGAAAACCCCAAGGACUCAAAAAUCACCAUUCGGUCUCAGUAAGAAAUAGCAUGCAAAUUACUUACAAAAACGUGAGCCUCCACUGCUCGGUUUCCUAGAAAAGACAGAUACUUAGGAACAACUACAGCCAAACUUUCUACCAGUUCUGUAAUUCGUUCUUGAUCUUCCUGCUGCUCACAAGUGCUCCCCUGAGGCCCAUAAACCCAGCACAUAAUUCGUGGUCUAUAUUUAGUGUAAAUGUAGCCAAGCGAUAACAAGAUUCCCUGCCCGGGGAUUCCCCUAUAAUGUCUGAGAGUUUAAGAUACGCAUUGCGGAAACUUUGCUUUAAAAACAACAAACCAGCAAGACUUGAUUCAGUUGGUAACUGAUGUGGUUCUUACGAAGCUCAAGUUGAAAGUCCUUAUUCAGUGGAAGUGGCUGUAUCAGCCGACAGCACAUUGCUAGCACUUCUGCUGGGGUGUGCUCCUGUGUAUAAAUACCCUGCAGCAGGCAGGAGCUGCCGCUGGGACAGCUGGUGUGCAGAGACCUCAGUAAACAAGGAGACUAGCUGUGAUAACACAACUAGUGUAAUGGCUGAUGUGUUCCAUUCCUGUAUCCAAAAUAAGUCAGCUUUCUACUAGUCCCGUUUCAGACCUCUGAUCUAGGCUUACAGCAGUAGAAAACAUGGUAACAGGUACAGCUGAAAGACGAGACCUAGUCUCAUGAGGCCAAGCAGCAAAGGAGAAGAAAGGGCCAAUGACUUGUCUUCAACCAAGUCUCAUGCCUAAAGAUCCACCAUCCUCCAGUGGUUCCAGCAAGUGACCAAGCAAGCCUUCUACACUUUUCUUUAAGGAGACUUCAGAGAUCUAAACUAUAGCAGCGGGUCCGGGGAUUCCCGGGCCUUCAUUUAGCUUUACAAAAAGUGUUUGUUUGUGGGUGCAAAGAUUGCACACCUCAGCAUCCCAUCCAAAAUGAGCUCUUCUAAGCUUCGGAAGCUCACCUGCCUUUUGGGAAUAACCAGUCUUGUUUCCUUUCCACAAGUGGCAGGCAGUUUCUGCCCUCUGGUGUACACAAAAGGUACUACAGUGAGAACUGGGGUCUGCCAGCUCCGGGUGACAGAUGACACAGUUUGGAUGGAAACAGACUUGCAGUUGUUUAUGAUCUGCCUUCGCUCACCACCGUUGCCUGCUCAUUAUAUAGCUCUGUGUGUUCCAGUUUCCCUUACAUGGUUCUUUAGGGACAUUAUUAUACUUUCGGAAAACAGGAAUCACAUUUUUUGGUCCUCCCAUAGCUUGAGAACCAAGAAGACCAUGCACUUGAUACCUUUAUCAUUAUGUGCUGUCACAUGUCUUAAAACUAAGCUCAGAAAAGAUGAAGAUGUUCCCAUCAUCUAGUCAUGCAGGUCAAAAAUCAAAACUCUUCUAACUACUCAAUCUGUCCCGAAUCCCCUAUCAUCUCCGAAGCACUUGCUGCAGUUUUGAACGCUGUUUUCCCCUUCUUCUAACGUUAUAACCCUCAAGUACUAGUCCUCCAGAGAUGGGAAAGAGCCUAAGAACUCCACUGCCAGGGAGGCUAAAGUGGCAGAGAUGAGACAACUCCACGCAUGCGUCCAUCCGUCACACCUGUCUGAAGGUGCCUGGCUUUAGACUCCUAGACAACGACUUGACCAGAAUGAUGGCUCUCUUAAUAUUGACAUGCUGCUUUUAAGUUUUGAAUCAGCAGAAAACAUGUCUGGGGCCUUACAUUUCCUUUCAAAUGCCUCUCAUGGUAUUCAGUCAAUUCCCAGGAAAUCCAAUAAAUGCCAUCACAGAGUUGAGUCUAUUGUUGAUUGCUUUGAAAUUAAUUCUUGUGCUACAGUAAUUUGGCUGAGAAUCAGUGAUUGGCUGGCUGGUCAACCACAGAGCACUUCACGACUUUCAACUCAGUUCUUAAACAUCAGGUUCUUAGCAAUUGUUGCCAGCAGAAGUUACUCAAUGAUUUCUUAAGAUCUCCAUCUUUGUAAUCUCAAGCGUAGGUUAAGUGCUUAUUUCUCACUCCUCAAACUC
rnacentral:lncRNA from 1 species